rnacentral:rRNA from 1 species
AUGCAAGUCGAACGCGGUUUUCCCGCAAGGGAAAACUGAGUGGCGAACGGGUGAGUAACACGUGGGUGACCUACCUUCGAGUGGGGGAUAACGUCCCGAAAGGGACGCUAAUACCGCAUAACAUCCUGCCUUUGAACAGGCGGAGAUCAAAGCCGGGGAUCGUAAGACCUGGCGCUUGAUGAGGGGCCCGCGUCCGAUUAGCUAGUUGGUGAGGUAAUGGCUCACCAAGGCAACGAUCGGUAGCCGGCCUGAGAGGGCGGACGGCCACACUGGGACUGAGACACGGCCCAGACUCCUACGGGAGGCAGCAGUGGGGAAUUGUUCGCAAUGGGCGCAAGCCUGACGACGCAACGCCGCGUGGAGGAUGAAGGUCUUCGGAUUGUAAACUCCUGUUGCCUGGGACGAAUGGCUCCAACCUAAUACGUUGGAGUGUGACGGUACCAGGUGAGGAAGCCCCGGCUAACUCUGUGCCAGCAGCCGCGGUAAUACAGAGGGGGCAAGCGUUGUUCGGAAUUACUGGGCGUAA